CUUAACACAUGCAAGUCGAGGGGCAGCAUGGUCUUAGCUUGCUAAGGCCGAUGGCGACCGGCGCACGGGUGAGUAACACGUAUCCAACCUGCCGUCUACUCUUGGACAGCCUUCUGAAAGGAAGAUUAAUACAAGAUGGCAUCAUGAGUCCGCAUGUUCACAUGAUUAAAGGUAUUCCGGUAGACGAUGGGGAUGCGUUCCAUUAGAUAGUAGGCGGGGUAACGGCCCACCUAGUCUUCGAUGGAUAGGGGUUCUGAGAGGAAGGUCCCCCACAUUGGAACUGAGACACGGUCCAAACUCCUACGGGAGGCAGCAGUGAGGAAUAUUGGUCAAUGGGCGAGAGCCUGAACCAGCCAAGUAGCGUGAAGGAUGACUGCCCUAUGGGUUGUAAACUUCUUUUAUAAAGGAAUAAAGUCGGGUAUGGAUACCCGUUUGCAUGUACUUUAUGAAUAAGGAUCGGCUAACUCCGUGCCAGCAGCCGCGGUAAUACGGAGGAUCCGAGCGUUAUCCGGAUUUAUUGGGUUUAAAGGGAGCGUAGAUGGAUGUUUAAGUCAGUUGUGAAAGUUUGCGGCUCAACCGUAAAAUUGCAGUUGAUACUGGAUAUCUUGAGUGCAGUUGAGGCAGGCGGAAUUCGUGGUGUAGCGGUGAAAUGCUUAGAUAUCACGAAGAACUCCGAUUGCGAAGGCAGCCUGCUAAGCUGCAACUGACAUUGAGGCUCGAAAGUGUAGGUAUCAAACAGGAUUAGAUACCCUGGUAGUCCACACGGUAAACGAUGAAUACUCGCUGUUUGCGAUAUACAGCAAGCGGCCAAGCGAAAGCGUUAAGUAUUCCACCUGGGGAGUACGCCGGCAACGGUGAAACUCAAAGGAAUUGACGGGGGCCCGCACAAGCGGAGGAACAUGUGGUUUAAUUCGAUGAUACGCGAGGAACCUUACCCGGGCUUAAAUUGCAGAUGAAUUACGGUGAAAGCCGUAAGCCGCAAGGCAUCUGUGAAGGUGCUGCAUGGUUGUCGUCAGCUCGUGCCGUGAGGUGUCGGCUUAAGUGCCAUAACGAGCGCAACCCUUGUUGUCAGUUACUAACAGGUUCCGCUGAGGACUCUGACAAGACUGCCAUCGUAAGAUGUGAGGAAGGUGGGGAUGACGUCAAAUCAGCACGGCCCUUACGUCCGGGGCUACACACGUGUUACAAUGGGGGGUACAGAGGGCCGCUACCACGCGAGUGGAUGCCAAUCCCCAAAACCUCUCUCAGUUCGGACUGGAGUCUGCAACCCGACUCCACGAAGCUGGAUUCGCUAGUAAUCGCGCAUCAGCCACGGCGCGGUGAAUACGUUCCCGGGCCUUGUACACACCGCCCGUCAAGCCAUGGGAGCCGGGGGUACCUGAAGUGCGUAACCGCGAGGAGCGCCCUAGGGUAAAACUGGUGACUGGGGCUAAAUCA
rnacentral:rRNA from 1 species